rnacentral:rRNA from 1 species
AACGAACGCUGGCGGCAUGCCUAACACGUGCAAGUCGAACGAGACCUUCGGGUCUAGUGGCGCACGGGUGCGUAACGCGUGGGAAUCUGCCCUUGGGUUCGGAAUAACAGUUAGAAAUGACUGCUAAUACCGGAUAAUGUCUUCGGACCAAAGAUUUAUCGCCCAGGGAUGAGCCCGCGUAGGAUUAGCUAGUUGGUGAGGUAAAGGCUCACCAAGGCGACGAUCCUUAGCUGGUCUGAGAGGAUGAUCAGCCACACUGGGACUGAGACACGGCCCAGACUCCUACGGGAGGCAGCAGUGGGGAAUUUUGGACAAUGGGGGGCAACCCUGAUCCAGCAAUGCCGCGUGAGUGAAGAAGGCCUUCGGGUUGUAAAGCUCUUUGUCAGGGAAGAACGGUGAGAGCUAAUAUCUCUUGCUAAUGACGGUACCUGAAGAAUAAGCACCGGCUAACUACGUGCCAGCAGCCGCGGUAAU